AGACCAUGAUGAGGACAAGACCAAAAGUAAUUCUUUAUAUCUUUCCCAAGCCUCAUACAAUUAUUUAGAAUCUUAUUGCAUGAAUGAUGUAAUAUCAUUUUUGCUGU
rnacentral:snoRNA from 1 species